rnacentral:rRNA from 1 species
UACGGGGGGGGCUAGCGUUGUUCGGAAUUACUGGGCGUAAAGGGCUCGUAGGCGGCCAACUAAGUCAGACGUGAAAUCCCUCGGCUUAACCGGGGAACUGCGUCUGAUACUGGAUGGCUUGAAUCCGGGAGAGGGAUGCGGAAUUCCAGGUGUAGCGGUGAAAUGCGUAGAUAUCUGGAGGAACACCGGUGGCGAAGGCGGCAUCCUGGACCGGCAUUGACGCUGAGGAGCGAAAGCCAGGGGAGCAAACGGG